GUCUUCUCUAUUUGGAAUUUUGAUGGGGCAAAUGUGUUCAAGCAAAUAGUUGAAGCAACCAACCAUUUUAGCGAGAUGCAUUGCAUAGGAACAGGGGGGUAUGGAUCUGUCUAUAAAGCUAUACUUGCAACAGGAGAAAUAUUUGCAGUGAAGAAGAUACACAUGAUAGAAGAUGAGUGUUGCGUGAAUGAGCAGCUAUUCAAUCGUGAAGUUGAGGCAUUGGUGCAGAUUCGUCAUCGAAACAUCGUGCAACUUUUGGGUUAUUGUUCCUCUAGCCAAGGUAGGUUCCUUAUCUAUGAAUAUAUGGAGAGAGGAGACUUGCCAAAAAUGUUGAAGGACAAUGAAAGGGCAAUUGAAUUGGAUUGGAGAAGGCGGAUAUGUAUUGUAUUGGAUGUGGUUCAUGCUUUGGCAUACAUGCACCAUGAUUGUUUGUCAACAAUAGUCCAUAGAGACAUAACAAGCAACAAUAUUUUGCUUGAUCAAGAAUUUAGAGCCUGCAUCUCUGACUUUGGUACAGCUAAAAUACUCAAUAUUUAUGGCCAAAAUCUCACAAGGCUAGCUGGGACGAAAGGCUACCUUGCCCCAGAGCUGGCAUAUACAGAAAACGUGACGGAGAAAUGUGAUGUAUACAACUUCGGAGUGCUUGUUUUGGAGCUAUUUAUGGGAUCUCAUCCAGGCGAUUUGCUCUCAUCCCUCUCGUUGGCCACCAAGAACAAUUUUGUGUGCAUGCAGGAUCUGCUGGACUCCAGGCUUGCCCUCCCGGAUGCUGAAUCCGCCAUAGAAAUAUACUGCAUGCUCAGUGUCGCAGUUCGGUGCCUGGAGCCGCUUCCAUCCCGCAGACCAACGGCGCGACGUGCCAGCGACGAGCUAUCUACGAUUAAAGCUUGUGAAGAUCAUGUUGAUUAUUGGCACACCGGCAUGACCUUUCCUGUGAUGUAG
rnacentral:rRNA from 1 species